rnacentral:rRNA from 1 species
UACGUAGGGGGCAAGCGUUGUCCGGAUUUAUUGGGCGUAAAGCGCACGCAGGCGGUGCGGUAAGUUUCGAGUGACAGGUGGUGGCUUAACUGCCACAGGACUCGGAAAACUGCUGCACUUGAGGGCUUGAGAGGGACGCGGAAUUCCAGGUGGAGCGGUGAAAUGCGUAGAGAUCUGGAAGAACACCAGAGGCGAAGGCAGCGUCCUGGCAAGUCACUGACGCUCAGGUGCGAAAGCUAGGGGAGCGAACGGG